rnacentral:rRNA from 1 species
GAUCCUGGCUCAGGAUGAACGCUGGCGGCGUGCCUAACACAUGCAAGUCGAGCGAUUCUCUUCGGAGAAGAGCGGCGGACGGGUGAGUAACGCGUGGGUAACCUGCCUCAUACACAUGGAUAACAUACCGAAAGGUAUGCUAAUACAGGAUAAUAUAAGAGAUUCACAUGGAUUUCUUAUCAAAGCUCCGGCGGUAUGAGAUGGACCCGCGUCUGAUUAGCUAGUUGGUAAGGUAACGGCUUACCAAGGCGACGAUCAGUAGCCGACCUGAGAGGGUGAUCGGCCACAUUGGAACUGAGACACGGUCCAAACUCCUACGGGAGGCAGCAGUGGGGAAUAUUGCACAAUGGGCGAAAGCCUGAUGCAAGCAACGCCGCGUGAGUGAUGAAGGCCUUCGGGUCGUAAAACUCUGUCCUCAAGGAAGAUAAUGACGGUACUUGAGGAGGAAGCCCCGGCUAACUACGUGCCAGCAGCAGC